GUGGUGGCUCAGUGGUAGAGCACUUGCCUGGCACUUGUGAGGCACUGGGUUCAAUUCUCAGCACCACA
rfam:Ictidomys tridecemlineatus contig022846, whole genome shotgun sequence.